ACAAAUUCCCACUCACGCUCCUUUCCCCCCCCCAAAUCCUCCCGUUUUUGACCUCUGGGGGCAGCUGUGCGGGGAUUGGAUAUUUCUGCCUCCCUUUUUUGCCCCAAAUCUGCAUUUUUUGUCCCCCUUUUUGGGGCCCUGUGGGAGGAAGCUUCUCCACCGGUGGCCGCUCAAGCCACAACCCCACCACUUUUGGGGGAAAAGCAGAGGAUUUUGGCCAACCUUGCAUCACUGUGGUUAUGGAGCUUAAUGUGGUUAUGCUGCUUAUCACUGUGCUCCAUCCCAUAACAAAAAACCAAACUCCAUUCGGGCAACUUUCGCCCUUUUCCACCACUUUGGCCUCACGUCUCUCCAAAUUCCCCUUUCCUGCCCCUUUUCACCCCAAACUUUGCUCACUUUCCCUCUCUUGCAAACGCCCCCCAACCCCACGCUUUCCUUUCCGUCCCCAGCUGCCACGUUUUCCACCACACCUGAGGAUGUUUGGCCCCAAACGUCGCCUUUUUCAACCCUUUCAGCCCAUUCUUGCCCCAAAGCUGGGAUAUUUUUGGCCAUUUCUGCCGUUUUUCCACCCAAAUCCACGACGUCUGCAGCCGUUUUCCCCCAACAAUUGGGGACGUGUUGCACUUUGGGGGCAUUUUCCCCACACCUCAGUGUUUUCCUUGCCUCAUUCUGACCCCCCAAAUUGGGAUUGUUUUCUUUUUUCUGUCUUUUUUUGGCCAAUUUUACACCAAAAUGGUGACGUUUCGGUGACAUCAUCUCCAAAUUUUAUCAUUUUCCCCCAAAUAUCCUCAAUUUCCCCCAAGUUUCCUACCCCUCCCCCCACACUCUCUCUCCCUGAGCCCCAAUUUCUCUCCACCAGUGGGGGCGACAACCCCACCACUUUUGGGGGAAAAGCAGAGGAUUUUGGCCAACCUUGCAUCACUGUGGGUAGUGCUUACUAUAGUUGUGGUGCUUAUCACUGUGCUCCAUCCCAUAACAAAAACCUCACUCGUUUUGGGGACGUUUCCCCUUUUUUUGUUCCAACGAGACCAAAAAUACACAUUUUUUUCACGUCUUUCGCAUCCACUGUGGGCUCAAAUUUGAGAUUUUUUUCCCCUUUUUCCACUGUGGGCUCAAAUUUGAGAUUUUUUUCCCCUUUUUCCCCUCCUUUUCCCCUUUUUUUUUGUUCCUAUUUUCCCCCUCUUUUUCUCCCCUUUCCAUUUUUCCACCCCUUUUUCCAUCUUUAUCCCUUUUUCACUUUUUUCCCUCAUUUUCCCCUUUUUUUCCCCCAUUUUUCCUCUCUUUCCUCUUUUCCUCUUCUUUUCCCCUUCUUUUCCUCCUCUUUUCCCCCUCUUUUUCUCCCCUUUCCAUUUUUCCACCCCUUUUUCCAUCUUUAUCCCUUUUUCCCUUUUUCUCCCUCAUUUUCCCCCUUUUUUCCCCCCAUUUUUCCUCUCUUUCCUCUUUUCCCCUUCUUUUCCCCUUCUUUUCCUCCUCUUCUCCCCCUUUUUCUCCCCUUUCCAUUUUUCCACUCCUUUUUCCAUCUUUAUCACUUUUUCCCCUUUUUUUUCCCUCAUUUUCCCCCUUUUUCCACCCAUUUUUCCUCUCUUUCCUCUUUUUCCCCUUCUUUUCCCCUUCUUUUCCUCCUCUUUUCCCCCUCUUUUUCUCCCCUUUCCACUUUUGCCCAUUUUGCCCCAAAACACCACAUCCUCGAUGCCCACCUUGCUCCAAAAAAACUGAACGUUUUACACUUUUUGACCAUUUUUGCUCAAAUUCUGUCUGUUUUCCUGACAUUUUAGUCAGUGACUCUUCAAACACUGGGGAUAUUUCACCAUUUUUUGAUGUUUUUCCCCAAAAUACCCCAAAUUUCACACUCACUCUACCCCCAAAUCGGGAUAUUUUCCCCAUUUCCCCCCAUUUUCACCAAAAUCACCAUUUCUAUGGAUUUUUUCCCAUGAAAUUUUCACCAUAUUCCGCAGCUGCGGGGACAUUUUGCCCAUUUCUGCCCAAUUUUGCCCAAAAAAUGGCAAAAUUUGGGGUCAUUUCUUCCCACACAGGCGAAGGCUUCACCAUCCAGCAGCGCCACGACUCCAAGCAAAGAAUUUUUGACCCAUUUUCCCCCAUUUUUGACCCAAAUUUUGGAGUCUUUCCCCCUUUCGUAGUCGCUUUCACCGAAAACCUCCGAAUUCAACGCUUUUUUUUUGCUAUUUUUGCCCAAAAUCUGUAUUUUUUUCCCCCUUUUUUGGGCCUUUUGAGAGGAAGGAGCUUCGCUGUGGCCGCUCAAGCAGCAAACCCACAAUUUUGGGGUAAAAACAGAGGAUUUUGGUCAACCUUUUGUCACUGUGGGUAGUGCUGGUUGUGGUGCUUAUCACCGUGCUUCACCCCGUAACAAAAACCAAACUCGUUUUUGGGGAACUUUUGCCCUUUUUGGUCAAUUUUGUCGUCACAUAUAAAGAUUUUCCCCUCUUUUUUGGCCUCAAGGGAUCCAAAAUUUGGGGUUAUUUUCCCACUUUUGGCCAAUUUUACCAAAAAUCAAAGAAUUUCUCCGUCUUUUCCACACUCUCAAAUUUCGAUUUUUUUUUUUUUUUUGGCCUUUUCUGGCUUUUUUUUUGCCCCAAAAUUCAACGAUUUUUCAUUCUCAUCUCCAAAAAAAUGGGGACGUUUUGUCCCUUUUUUGCCAUUUUUCACCUCAAUUCCCCACUCUCAAUGUUCACAAUUUUUAGACGCUCCCAAUCUUGCCCUGUUUUACCCCAAAAUCUCCACCAUUCCACAGAUUCGCCCCCCAAAAAGGGGAAAAACAUCAUUUUUAACCAUUUUCCCCCAAAAUAAAAGGCUGGCCGUGUCCUUAUUGACA
rnacentral:lncRNA from 1 species